AGAGUUUGAUCAUGGCUCAGGAUGAACGCUGGCGGCGUGCCUAACACAUGCAAGUCGAGCGAAGUUGCUUUCAGGAAGCCUUCGGGUGGAAUGGAUUUAACUUAGCGGCGGACGGGUGAGUAACGCGUGGGCAACCUACCCCGUACAGGGGAAUAACAAUGGGAAACCAUUGCUAAUACCCCAUAAUACCUUUUAGGGGCAUCCCUUAAAGGUCAAAGAAUUUCGGUAUAGGAUGGGCCCGCGUCGCAUUAGCUAGUUGGUAAGGUAAUGGCUUACCAAGGCGACGAUGCGUAGCCGGCCUGAGAGGGUGAACGGCCACACUGGAACUGAGACACGGUCCAGACUCCUACGGGAGGCAGCAGUGGGGAAUAUUGCACAAUGGGGGAAACCCUGAUGCAGCAACGCCGCGUGAGCGAUGAAGGCUUUCGGGUCGUAAAGCUCUGUCCUAAGGGAAGAUAAUGACGGUACCUUAGGAGGAAGCCCCGGCUAACUACGUGCCAGCCGCUGC
rnacentral:rRNA from 1 species